CACGUUUAGAUGCCAUAAUAACCAAAUUACACUCGCAACUGAACACAAAAACCCCACACGAGCUAGGGUUUCCAAAGCGUAGGCCUUUAAAUACCGAACGAAGCCCUUCUAAUUGUUAAGGGAACUCUCCUUUACAAAGAAAUCGUCGACAAACCGUAAAAGAAAGCGUCAAUCCCAAGAUGAGAGCCAAGUGGAAGAAGAAACGCAUGAGAAGGCUGAAGAGGAAGCGCCGAAAGAUGAGGCAGAGAUCAAAGUAGGUGCUUCCCUUGUCUUCACGAUCAUCCAGCAUAUGUUUGCAUGAAGUUCUGAAGAUAGGAGGAUGUGUUCUCGGGCAAACUUAUCUUUUCUGUCUUCUAAUUCUAAUUUAAGUUUUAAGACUGUUUGAGAUGUUGUCUAGUACUAGUGGAUAUUAUGUUGGAAUUUUAUGGUUUGAGCUAUGUAGACUAUUUAUCUUUAACAUGCUUCCUAAAAGUUUGAAAUUGUAAACUCUAUGGUCUUUGUCUAAUAUUAGAUAAUUGUUCAUGCUA